UGAAUCCAUACAAUUUAUUCAGAGGGAGCCUCAGUAAUUUCUUUAUUAUCAGUUGUGGCUAACAACUAAUGAUUUGGAAGUGAUGAUUCAUCUCUGUAUGCAGAAUUUAUGGAUUGGUCCUCUCUGAAUUCCAACAGUUUUCUCCGUUGACAUUUCGCAUUAAGGUAAACAUUGUCCUCUGGUUACUCUUCAAAUUCAAGUAAUCAACCUGCUCAGGAUCUAAAACUAGCAGACAAAAUGUGGCAACUGGGCCUGAGGAAGAAUCCAGAAAGAAUUCAUGGGAAGGUUGCUCACUUAGACAAGGAAGACCUGGGUUAGGGCCAAGGUAUUGCAUCCUUGACUUUACAGAACUAGCAUACCAUGAUUUCUCUCUUAUCUGCACCAUUGAUUUAAAGAAAUGAAGAAGACCUAGAAUAGCUCAAGGAUGCAAAAUGGUGAAAAAAAAAAGUGAAAACUUGAAUGAUGGAAAAUCUACAGUCAACUUUAGAAGGCACCAUUUGGCAUCAUCAAAAGGGAAACUUUUAGAAUACAUUUCUCCACCUACCCUUUUCUCAAGCUUGGCAUCAAAUCAAAAUCCAUAACAAGCAAUCUUUUGAUUAGUCAUAAAUACCUAGAGGUUUAUCAUUGGAAAUGACAAUGGGGCACAGUUAGCAGGGCAAGUUUUGGCAUUACCAUCUUGAAUCGGUUAGGCACUGUGGCAGAGAAGAAAAAUGUGCAGCAGGGAUGGAAAUCCCCAUUCGUUGUUUGCAAUUUUAUAAAUAUCUAAACAUUACACACACACACACUAAAUUUUGUAAACUAUUCCUCUGUUAGUUAAUAUUUAAAAAAAGAAGAAUAAAUUAAAGGAUCAUGCAAUCCAAUAACAACUAUAUUGAAAGCAGCUUUACUAACAUUUGGCUUCUUAGCCUUUAAAUACAGCCUUAUCAGUUUGCCGAAGGCAUUACAGUGAACUGCAAAUCCUAUGCAUAAAAAAAAAGUUCUCUUUAACAUCAACUUUCUAACAAAAUAUUGGCGUUGAUACUUUUGACACCCUAGGAUAUUCACAUUGUCUAGAUCAUAAAAAGACCAAAUAAAGCAUGGAAGAGACAUGGUGCUCAAGGUGGUUAUAGGUACCUGAAGCUUUGCAGGAUCAGGAUUCAACCCAUCAAUAAUGUUAACUCUUCCAUUGAUACGGAAUUGCUCCCAGGAGUCAGUAAAAUACCAACAUAUCUAGAAAAAGUAAAUUUAAGUUUAAAGUACCUAAUUCUGUAACUCAAGGAAUCUAAAGGAAUUGAAAGAACAUAUACUGAAAUAACCUACCGCAAGAAAGUGAAUGCUAUACUAGAUCAAGGAAUCGAUAAAAGAUAUAAAAUGUAGGUCUAUUACCUCAGCGAAUGGACAUUGCUUAAGUUCUUCAAUCUUACGAGUUCUAGAAUCUGUGUUGAUUAGGAUCUUAUCGCUGUUCUCUGCAAAUCCUCUGUAAAACCAUCAACAAACCUCUCAUCAUCCAACAAAUUUCACACAUAAACAUGUUGACAGAGUACCUGAAAACCACAGUGCGAUUGGAAGGUCUCCCAUCAGAUCCAACUGUUGCAAAUUGGAAGAAGGAAGAGUGCUUGAGGUGGGAAUUGGACUCUAAUGCACUUAGCAGAAGCUGCUUCCAUGGAGUUGCGAUUACUGUUCCCAUACUGCUCACUUUCAUUCCUGGUUGCAGCGCAUCUGCGUUAGCUUCCUACAAUUCUGC
rnacentral:misc_RNA from 1 species